AUGGAGAAGUUACGGUGGAUGCCCGUAGUGCUACGAUCUCUCAGGUCCUACUCGGCGAAGGCCCCUAUCUCCACCAGAGCUCCUCGUCUUCCGACUGGCAAACAGGUGCUCCAAGGUGUCGCAUCCGACCAUCUGAAGUUACGAGAUAGCAUGGAAACCCUAGACAAAGGCUAUCUCUUUUCGCGUAGAGACGCAUGUAAUCUGGGAACGUCACAGAGAGGUGCAAUAUCUCGUCUUACCCAUAUGCCCACGCACCGCAGCACCAAUCAAUGGCCUACACCCAUCCGAAGGCAUCUUCUGACACGGAGUUAUUCUUCAAAGGGAACUGAUCCAAAAGAUGACUUUGACUGGCAUACACAUAUUGCAACGGGAAACUUCUCUUAUAGAGGGCAACUCACACUCGGCAUUAAGAUGAUCAGUCUGCAAGAGCACUUGGUCAAGAACCCGAUGCUCGAAACAAGACCAGUUUACGGUGAUCGCAAUGGCAAGUACAAAACUUUUGUCAAGGAUAUCGCUAAGUCUCACUGCUGGAAUAUGAUUAAUUCUCUCUCAGAGUUUCACAGGAUCGGACUAUGUAUUGUGGACCUAGAUCACUCCAAAAUUGUAAUCUGUGAUGGUGUUGCAAGAUUUUCACCAGACAUCCUAUUCGUUGCUGCAACAGAGCAGCUCAUCAAGGAUAAUUUCCUGAAGCUGGCGAAGAUCAUCAAGCAUGUACUGUUCCAGGGGGAGGAAUUGCCUUAUGACAUGCAUCGUCUUCUGAAGAUCAUGCAGACCGAGGCUCUAGAGGCGGUAAAUCUCAUGAAUUGUCAUGUGGCUCUUGUUCCCCAAAUUCUCAAGACAUCAUUCUACUUCAGAAUGUAUGAAGUGAUCACUUUUCUCCGGCUUGGCGACUACCCAUCUUACUCCUCUCUUAUGGACAUGCUUCCGUACCGAUAUGUUUGGUAUAAGAUAAUGCAAGGUAAAACACUUUUGGCAUCCUCAAUGGAAAGGCACCAGCGUCCAAUCAGCCGUUUGGCAAGGAAAAAUCCUGGAAAGUUAGUGCAUAGCUACAGGUGUCUGUGA
rnacentral:rRNA from 1 species